ensembl:lncRNA
GAGAGAGAGAAAGAAAGAAAGAAAGAAAGAAAGAAAGAAAGAAAGAAAGAAAGAGAGAGAGAGAGAAUUGAAUAAGCAUCCUUGAAAGAAUAGACAAGCGUGAAGCCUGAGUUGUUUAAAAACAAAGUAUAUUGAGUUUAAGGAUCAACAGUUAAAUUGGACAUAUACUUUUGCUUCAUAUUGACUUUGAAAAAUCAGUGUCUCCCUUGAUAUCGGGCCUACAUCAACGAAAACAUUUCUCUUCUGUUCAGAGGCAGAGCAACAGUAACAUACAGUACCAAGUAUUGAUAAAGUAGUGUAGCCUGAUACAGGAAAGUUUCUGAGCACAUCUGAAAAAACAAAACGUAAUAACACACCAGACAUAACACAGUAAAUACAUUGUGAUGAUGACCACUUGACAGGGGAGAAGACGUACAGUACACAUACAAAAGAGAGUUUGCAAUACAUGUGUACAUAAAUACAUUAUUUUGAGGAUUUCUUUUUUUUUGCUUGUUGUUUUUAUAAAAUAUUUUUCAAGAAACGUAAAACGACGGAAAAAAGUUGCACAAAACACACUUUUAAACGACUCUGUUAGCGACACAUGAAAAAUGAAUAUGUCAAAUGAAUCAACACACACACACACACACACACACACACACACACACACACACACACACACACACACACACACACACACACACACACAAAGCACACACAAAGCACACACAAAGCACAACAGAAAAAACAUAUUUCUCUUCCUAUGUCACAACUGCACUGCAAGUUUGGCUUUUUUUUUCAAUGGUUAAGACAAUGUGAUUCCUAUAGUCGAGUUUCUGAAUCAUUUGUGGGCCAUGAACUGGAUCUCACUUGGCUAUAGGACCGUGGCUCGUUUCAAAACCUCUACCACAACGCUGUCACCUGGUAUUCCGUUGAGAAAAUAUGUCUCUGUUACUUUACAUGGGAGAGAUAACCAUGAUUUAUAAAGCAGACAAACUUCCCAGCCAGUGAGAGUUAUAUAAAUAUGAGCGUGGGCUGAUGGUGGUGUAUGGGCAAAUGGAAAUUGACUUGGGUCCAGCGGAAUGGCAAUAAAGUAUGAAUAAAUGGAUUGUGGGGGAAGAGGGAGAGACUAGCUGAGAGAGCCGAUGGCAGCCAUUUUGUGUCUGGCCCGUGGCCCAUGGUGCCAUCUUACAAAUGACUGCAUUAACAGAGCCAAUUAAAGUGGCAAUCAUUUAAUGGCCACCUACGCAGCCGUGCGAGACUGGGACUUUCAUCACGUCAAUCGGCCGUAAGGCAGUAAUAUUCAGUUAGAGCAAUCUGGCCAGUGGACCGACUCAGCUCUGCUCUACUCUCAAUAAAACAUGCCACCACUCAGCACUGACUGGGUAUUAGGAACAACAGCUUUAGGAGGAGAGGAGUUAUUCUUUUGAAAAUAAAUACACUGAAUCGCUUUAAUUUAAUGGCAGCUAUCAAUAGUAGUUCUUUGUAGUUAAUUGUACAAAAAAGUUUGUAAUAAAAAAAAAGAGAAUAAAUGUUUUAUUUUCCACCAAUUUUUCUAAAUGUAUUUUGGUUUUUAUAAACUAAGGAACACAUGCUUUCCAGGACAGGUUUCACUCCCUUCACCUGAAAUGAAGGGGACAUGAAGAUGCAGACAGAGUGAUGGGGGACAUAAACUAAGGAACACAUGAAGGUGCAGACAGAGUGAUGGGGGACAUGAAGAAGCAGACAGAGUGAUGGGGGACAUGAAGAUGCAGACAGAGUGAUGGGGGACAUGAAGAAGCAGACAGAGUGAUGGGGGACAUGAAGAUGCAGACAGAGUGAUGGGGGACAUGAAGAUGCAGACAGAGUGAUGGGGGACAUGAAGGUGCAGACAGAGUGAUGGGGACAUGAAGAUGCAGACAGAGUGAUGGGGGACAUGAAGGUGCAGAUGGAGUGAUGGGGACAUGAAGGUGCAGAUGGAAGGAUGGGGACAUGAAGGUGCAGAAAGACUGAUGGGUAGAAAGAAGAAAAGAAUUGCAUUUUAUCGACCAAUGUCCUUCCCCAUCUAUCCUCUGCAGUCAUACUACCCAGAAUGCUUUCGGCUCCAAGCGCUCUUUGAGUUUUAGGAGCAUCGUAAAGUGGAACAGAGCUAGAGUCGUUUAAAAUUGGGCUUGUCUACUUCAAAACAUAAAUAUAACAACAAAAAGCAACAAAAAUGCAAAACAACAUAAAAAUAAAACAAUUUCUCGGGGACCUGAUUCUCAUCCUCUAGGUUAUUUGGACACAUUGUAUACACACAUACAUAUUGUAGACCAACAAUACACUUCACAUGGUCAUCUGACCAAAGACACAUAGAAUCACAAGAUAAGCCAGUUGCGUCUAUACCGGCACCUUUUCCCUACACAGUGCACUACUUUAGACCAGGGCCCAUAGGGAAUAGGGUGCAUUACUUUAGACCAGGGACCAUAGGGAAUAGGGUGCUUUAGACCAGGGCCCAUAGGGAAUAGGGUGCACUACUUUAGACCAGGGCCCAUAGGGAAUAGGGUGCACUACUUUAGACCAGGACCCAUAGGGAAUAGGGUGCACUACUUUAGACCAGGGCCCAUAGGGAAUAGGGUGCAUUACUUUAGACCAGGGCCCAUAGGGAUUAGGGUGCUUUAGACCAGGGCCCAUAGGGAAUAGGGUGCACUACUUUAGACCAGGACCCAUAGGGAAUAGGGUGCACUACUUUAGACCAGGGCCCAUAGGGAAUAGGGUGCUUUACUUUAGACCAGGGCCCAUAGGGAAUAGGGUGCUUUAGACCAGGGCCCAUAGGGAAUAGGGUGCAUUACUUUAGACCAGGGCCCAUAGGGAAUAGGGUGCACUACUUUAGACCAGGGCCCAUAGGGAAUAGGGUGCUUUAGACCAGGACCCAUAGGGAAUAGGGUGCUUUAGACCAGGGCCCAUAGGGAAUAGGGUGCACUACUUUAGACCAGGGCCCAUAGGGAAUAGGGUGCACUACUUUAGACCAGGACCCAUAGGGAAUAGGGUGCACUACUUUAGACCAGGGCCCAUAGGGAAUAGGGUGCAUUACUUUAGACCAGGGCCCAUAGGGAUUAGGGUGCUUUAGACCAGGGCCCAUAGGGAAUAGGGUGCACUACUUUAGACCAGGACCCAUAGGGAAUAGGGUGCACUACUUUAGACCAGGGCCCAUAGGGAAUAGGGUGCAUUACUUUAGACCAGGGCCCAUAGGGAAUAGGGUGCUUUACUUUAGACCAGGGCCCAUAGGGAAUAGGGUGCUUUAGACCAGGGCCCAUAGGGAAUAGGGUGCAUUACUUUAGACCAGGCCCAUAGGGAAUAGGGUGCUUUAGACCAGGGCCCAUAGGGAAUAGGGUGCACUACUUUAGAACAGGACCCAUAGGGAAUAGGGUGCUUCAGUAUACCAACAAUGAAAUUAAAAUAUAUUUUAUAAAGUCCUAAAAUGUCACCACUGUUUAACCCACUGUUUGACCCACUGUUUGACCCACUGUUUGACCCACUGUUUGACCCACUGUUUGACCCACUGUUUGACCCACUGUUUGACCCAUAUAGAUCGUGAUACAUGUUUGUGAAAGGAAUAACAUUUUGUUUCAUUUUUAAAAAACUUUUUCUAGAUUUUCUCAAUCUAAUAAUAAUAGAUAAUAUCACUAUAAUCCAUUUGAUACACCAAUAAACACUAUGCUGUGACACUUCUAUAAUAACACACAAGUACUGUAUGUAAAUGAUUCUAGGAAAAUAAUAACAUCUUGUAGAAAUACAAAAACAAGGAAAACAAGAGUAAUUUCAGGAAGAAUUCAGUAAAGUGCAAAUAGGAAGAUAUAUAAGGAAUGAAAUAUAUAGUAAUAUUAAGAUUAUUCAUAAUAAAAGUCAACAUAUGCAACAUG